UUUUCCUUGUUUCUUUUUUAGUAAUUUUAUGCGCCAAGAGUGUUUGGAUUCCAGAUUUGUAUUUGACAGACCUCUUCCUGUGUCUCGUCUUGUAUCUCUAAUUGGAAGCAAGACCCAGAUACCAACACAACGAUAUGGCCGGAGACCAUAUGGUGUUGGGCUGCUUAUUGCUGGUUAUGAUGAUAUGGGCCCUCACAUUUUCCAAACCUGUCCAUCUGCCAACUAUUUUGACUGUAGAGCCAUGUCCAUUGGAGCCCGUUCUCAAUCAGCUCGUACUUACUUGGAGAUACAUAUGUCUGGGUUUAUGGAGUGCAAUUUGAAUGAACUGGUUAAACAUGGUCUGUGUGCCUUACAAGAGACACUUCCUGAAGAACAGGACCUAACUACAAAGAAUGUUUCCAUUGGAAUUGUUGGUAAAGACUUGGAGUUUACAAUUUAUGAUGAUGAUGAUGUAUCUCCAUUCCUGGAAGGUCUUGAAGAAAGACCACAGAGAAAGGCACAGCCUGCUCAGCCUGCUGAUGAACCUGCAGAAAAGGCUGAUGAACCGAUGGAACAUUAAGUUACAAGCCAGUCUGUAUGUUUAUUAUCAAAUCUGUAAGAAUGCAGGAACAUGUACUGAUGACAAUAAUCUGUACGUAGGAAUCAGUCCAGAUGUGUUUUUCCCUAGCAACUUGUCUGAAAUCAUAUAAUGGUGUGCAUUUUUCUUUGAGAGGGUCUAUAUAAUCAUUUUCUAGAAAGUAUAGGUAUCUGUACUGAUGUUUUUAUAUGAAGAACAUAGUGUCUUUGUGGUUUUAAAGACAACUGUGAAAUAAAAUUGUUUCACCUGCC